ACCCACAGUUGUAUGCCUCCGGCAUUUUCCUCUCUCUCUACCAGUAAUGACGAACGAGAACACAGUUUGGCUCGUGGGGAGUGGAUGGCUUUCUGAUAUCUCACGCGCCGUGCAGGCGAGAUAGUAACUUUGUAGACAACACGUGAAAAAGGUGUGAGAAAAAAAAAAUUUAUCUGUGGGAACUGGAUUUUUAGACCCCUAGACGGAGGCAAAUGAAGUAGCGAAGAAUCAAAUCUCCAAUCAAGGAGUGGUGGAUCAACUGAGGUAGACAACAGGUGAAAAAGGUGUGAGCAAACAAAUAAUUUUAUCUGUGGGAACUUGAUUUUUAGACCUCUAGACAGAGGCAAAUGAAGUAGCAAAGAAUCAAAUCUCCAAUCAAGGAGUGGUGGAUCAACUUGGAUAAAGUCCUAGACCUCAAGUUCUAAAAGCUUUGAUGACACAGUCAAAAUGACUUAUUGGAGGAGAAGGACCUAGCAGUUCUUUGUCCUCCUGCUUCACCAGCCACAUAUUCAUUCAUGUGGAUUUUAAUAGAGAGCUGACACUUGGGAGCCUCAACAACAAAUUCAUCUUCAUAUGAAAUCUAAAGGACCAAUGAAACACAGGAUAAAUUUGAACUUGAUAGCAGUUGGAAGAAGUUUUGACGUUUAUAUUGGGAGAUCGUAUUGAAGAAGUUCAAGGAUUUUUGGGCAAACUUUAAUGGGAGAUAAUUUUGAAGCAAACUUAUGUUGCUGGUAUUUUUUAACUUUGAUUGAGGUUCUUAGAUGAUACGUAGGCUACUGUUUUUUAGGCUUAAAAAAUGUCUAGUUUGGUAUGUAAUUCUAUAUGGGAUUGACAAGCAACUUUUAUGAGUCAUGAGUAACUGCAUUGAGGGGUGAAAUGCCACAUUCUACUAAG